rnacentral:tRNA from 1 species
GCGCAUAUGGUGCAACGGUAGCAUCUCCCUUCCUGACGGGGAGAGAUGGAGGUUCGAAUCCUCCUAUGCGUU